rnacentral:rRNA from 1 species
CAGCAGCCGCGGGAAUACGGAGGGUGCAAGCGUUAUCCGGAUUUAUUGGGUUUAAAGGGUCCGUAGGCGGAUCUGUAAGUCAGUGGUGAAAUCUCACAGCUUAACUGUGAAACUGCCAUUGAUACUGCAGGUCUUGAGUAAAUUUGAAGUGGCUGGAAUAAGUAGUGUAGCGGUGAAAUGCAUAGAUAUUACUUAGAACACCAAUUGCGAAGGCAGGUCACUAAGAUUUAACUGACGCUGAUGGACGAAAGCGUGGGGAGCGAACAGGAUUAGAUACCCGCGUAGUCCCUGUCUCUUAUAU